rnacentral:rRNA from 1 species
CGUUACUCGGAAUUACUGGGCGUAAAGCGCACGUAGUCGGCUUUGUAAGCCAGAUGUGAAAUCCCCGGGCUUAACCUGGGAAUGGCAUUUGGGACUGCAAGGCUCGAGUGCGGCAGAGGAGACUGGAAUUCCUGGUGUAGCAGUGAAAUGCGUAGAUAUCAGGAGGAACACCGGUGGCGAAGGCGGGUCUCUGGGCCGAUACUGACGCUGAGGAGCGAAAGCGUGGGGAGCGAACAGG